rnacentral:rRNA from 1 species
AUUGAACGCUGGCGGCAGGCCUAACACAUGCAAGUCGAGCGGAUGAAGGGAGCUUGCUCCUGGAUUCAGCGGCGGACGGGUGAGUAAUGCCUAGGAAUCUGCCUGUUAGUGUGGUAUAACGUCCGGAAACGGGCGCUAAUACCACAUACGUCCUGAGGGAGAAAGUGGGGGAUCUUCGGACCUCACGCUAUCAGAUGAGCCUAGGUCGGAUUAGCUAGUUGGUGGGGUAAAGGCCUACCAAGGCGACGAUCCGUAACUGGUCUGAGAGGAUGAUCAGUCACACUGGAACUGAGACACGGUCCAGACUCCUACGGGAGGCAGCAGUGGGGAAUAUUGGACAAUGGGCGAAAGCCUGAUCCAGCCAUGCCGCGUGUGUGAAGAAGGUCUUCGGAUUGUAAAGCACUUUAAGUUGGGAGGAAGGGCAGUAAGUUAAUACCUUGCUGUUUUGACGUUACCAAAAGAAUAAGCACCGGCUAACUUCGUG